rnacentral:rRNA from 1 species
GUGGGGAAUCUUAGACAAUGGGGGAAACCCUGAUCUAGCCAUGCCGCGUGAGCGAUGAAGGCCUUAGGGUUGUAAAGCUCUUUCAGCUGGGAAGAUAAUGACGGUACCAGCAGAAGAAGCCCUGGCUAACUCCGUGCCAGCAGCCGCGGUAAUACGGAGGGGGCUAGCGUUGUUCGGAAUUACUGGGCGUAAAGCGCGCGUAGGCGGACCAGAAAGUUGGAGGUGAAAUCCCAGGGCUCAACCUUGGAACUGCCUUCAAAACUCCUGGGCUGGAGUUCGGGAGAGGUGAGUGGAAUUCCGAGUGUAGAGGUGAAAUUCGUAGAUAUUCGGAGGAACACCAGUGGCGAAGGCGGCUCACUGGCUCGAUACUGACGCUGAGGUGCGAAAGCGUGGGGAGCAAACAGGAUUAGAAACCCCUGUAGUCC